rnacentral:rRNA from 1 species
CGACCCCAGGAUGGGCGGGGUGACCCG